rnacentral:rRNA from 1 species
AGAGUUUGAUCCUGGCUCAGGAUGAACGCUAGCUACAGGCUUAACACAUGCAAGUCGAGGGGCAGCGGGAAGUCAGCUUGCUGACUUUGCCGGCGACCGGCGCACGGGUGAGUAACACGUAUCCAACCUUCCCGUUACUCUGGGAUAGCCUUUCGAAAGAAAGAUUAAUACCGGAUAGUAUCGAGAGAUUGCAUGAUUACCCGAUUAAAGAUUCAUCGGUAACGGAUGGGGAUGCGUUCCAUUAGGCAGUUGGCGGGGUAACGGCCCACCAAACCGACGAUGGAUAGGGGUUCUGAGAGGAAGGUCCCCCACAUUGGAACUGAGACACGGUCCAAACUCCUACGGGAGGCAGCAGUGAGGAAUAUUGGUCAAUGGGCGAGAGCCUGAACCAGCCAAGUAGCGUGAAGGAUGACUGCCCUACGGGUUGUAAACUUCUUUUAUAAGGGAAUAAAGUUCUCUACGUGUAGAGUUUUGUAUGUACCUUAUGAAUAAGCAUCGGCUAACUCCGUGCCAGCAGCCGCGGUAAUACGGAGGAUGCGAGCGUUAUCCGGAUUUAUUGGGUUUAAAGGGAGCGUAGACGGCGGUUUAAGUCAGCUGUGAAAUGGUGCGGCUCAACCGUAGCACUGCAGUUGAAACUGGACGGCUUGAGUGCAGUUGAGGCAGGCGGAAUUCGUGGUGUAGCGGUGAAAUGCUUAGAUAUCACGAAGAACCCCGAUUGCGAAGGCAGCCUGCUAAGCUGCAACUGACGUUGAGGCUCGAAAGUGUGGGUAUCAAACAGGAUUAGAUACCCUGGUAGUCCACACGGUAAACGAUGGAUACUCGCUGUUGGCGAUAUACGGUCAGCGGCCAAGUGAAAACGUUAAGUAUCCCACCUGGGGAGUACGCCGGCAACGGUGAAACUCAAAGGAAUUGACGGGGGCCCGCACAAGCGGAGGAACAUGUGGUUUAA